rnacentral:rRNA from 1 species
GUCAGCAGCCGCGGUAACACCGGCGGCCCGAGUGGUGAUCGUGAUUAUUGGGUCUAAAGGGUCCGUAGCCGGUUUGGUCAGUCCUCCGGGAAAUCUGAUAGCUCAACUAUUAGGCUUUCGGGGGAUACUGCCAGACUUGGAACCGGGAGAGGUAAGAGGUACUACAGGGGUAGGAGUGAAAUCUUGUAAUCCCUGUGGGACCACCUGUGGCGAAGGCGUCUUACCAGAACGGGUUCGACGGUGAGGGACGAAAGCUGGGGGCACGAACCGGAUUAGAUACCCGGGUAGUCCCAGCCGUAAACGAUGCUCGCUAGGUGUCAGGCAUGGCGCGACCGUGUCUGGUGCCGCAGGGAAGCCGUGAAGCGAGCCACCUGGGAAGUACGGCCGCAAGGCUGAAACUUAAAGGAAUUGGCGGGGGAGCACAACAACGGGUGGAAGCCUGCGGUUUAAUUGGACUCAACGCCGGACAACUCACCGGGGGCGACAGCAAUAUGUAGGCCAAGCUGAAGACUUUGCCUGAAUCGCUGAGGGGUGGUGCAUGG